GUAGGGCGCGAGCGUUGUCCGGAAUUAUUGGGCGUAAAGAGCUCGUAGGCGGUCUGUCGCGUCGGAUGUGAAAGCCCGGGGCUUAACCCCGGGUCUGCAUUCGAUACGGGCAGACUAGAGUGUGGUAGGGGAGAUCGGAAUUCCUGGUGUAGCGGUGAAAUGCGCAGAUAUCAGGAGGAACACCGGUGGCGAAGGCGGAUCUCUGGGCCAUUACUGACGCUGAGGAGCGAAAGCGUGGGGAGCGAACAGGAUUAGAUACCCUGGUAGUCCACGCCGUAAACGGUGGGAACUAGGUGUUGGCGACAUUCCACGUCGUCGGUGCCGCAGCUAACGCAUUAAGUUCCCCGCCUGGGGAGUACGGCCGCAAGGCUA
rnacentral:rRNA from 1 species